rnacentral:misc_RNA from 1 species
ACACUCCAAAUACAUUUGCACUGGAAAUAAAGAAAUCAACAAAUAACAAAGCCAAAAUCAUGUUGAGAACCACGAAUAAGGAUGAAAUAAAUGAAAUGAGGCAAACAUUACACAUGAUGUACCACAUAAUUACUGCUACCAGAUACUGCAUAUACAACAAAAAUACAAGGCAAUUCUUCGACAUGUAACAUUGAAAAUCAGCUUUGCUACGCAAUUUGCAUCCUUGACACCAAAAAUAAAUUCACAACGAAUCUACGAAAGCAAUGAUAAGUACCCUCCAGUAUUUGGAUCCAUCCAGAUAACAAUGCAAUCUGUGAUGGUUUGCCUUUGCAUACGCAAGACACAAACUAAUAUCUCAUGUUGACCAAUUAGAACCACAUCAAAAUUCAAAAUAACAGUUUUUUCCCAGUUACUGUCCUCUAAUCAAUGAAAGUUUGAUGAAUGCUAGCAACAGCACCACCAUGAACCUAAGCAGACAAAUAAGUUCCUAUCAAAAUUGAGUUAAAACCUCACUAUAGAAAACGUAACCUCGUCAUUUGCCAGCAAUGAUAAGCCUCUCUUUUCAAAAGCAGGUUCAUAUCCUGUUCAAUACACUAUGUAUUCACAAGAAAGAUUUUAAAGGAGCUGUUUAGAUGCUCUAAGCAAAUUAAUAAGCUCCGUGAGGCUUUCAUAGCAUUUAAAGGCAAAAUCUAAUUUCAAAUACAGCAAAAAUUAAAAGGAUUGCUGCUUCCCAGCAUCCUAUUGCUCUGUGGGCAUUCAUUAUAUUUUAAGCUAUAAUGACCAAUUCAGAUCCAACUCGAUGCCCAAAAAUCCCGUCUGACCAAACAAUUAUAUAUCAUGAAUUUCAAAGUUCAAAGGCGUGCUAACUCUGUAUCUUCCAGGAAGCGACAGAAACAGAGAAGAAAAUGUUGACAGCCAGAGUCUGUCUACAAUCCAAACCAAUAUCUCAGGAACGUUAACAGGAAGAGCCCCCGUUAAAAAUCGAGGGGACUAUUUUAUUUUAGAUGGAAAAAUAAAAGUUCACGACUUUUAAGAGAACAGAACAAGAAAUUCAUUCAUUCAGUUUGACAGAGCAGGUGACACUUAAUUACAAAAUCAUCCAAGAAAAUGAGAAGAGGCAUUAGUUUCCUACAUUUUCCCGGGUACUUUAUUUUCUUUUCCUUUUUGGCUUUAGUAGACAAAAUCACAAAUCAAAAUUCACCAAGCAACAUCUUAAAAAAUGAACAGAUUCUUUAUCCAAUUAUGCAUAGCUUAAUUAUGUAAUCUAGUAAUUUAUUCAGCAACGACCUGAUAAUUAACCAAACAUGCGCACAAAAUCCCAUAAAACCAUACGCGUGAAAGAAAAUUACAUAAGAAGAAGAA